rnacentral:rRNA from 1 species
UGGCGGGCAGGCCUAACACAUGCAAGUCGAGCGGCAGCACGGGUACUUGUACCUGGUGGCGAGCGGCGGACGGGUGAGUAAUGCCUAGGAAUCUGCCUGGUAGUGGGGGAUAACGCUCGGAAACGGACGCUAAUACCGCAUACGUCCUACGGGAGAAAGCAGGGGACCUUCGGGCCUUGCGCUAUCAGAUGAGCCUAGGUCGGAUUAGCUAGUUGGUGAGGUAAUGGCUCACCAAGGCGACGAUCCGUAACUGGUCUGAGAGGAUGAUCAGUCACACUGGAACUGAGACACGGUCCAGACUCCUACGGGAGGCAGCAGUGGGGAAUAUUGGACAAUGGGCGAAAGCCUGAUCCAGCCAUGCCGCGUGUGUGAAGAAGGUCUUCGGAUUGUAAAGCACUUUAAGUUGGGAGGAAGGGCAGUUACCUAAUACGUGAUUGUUUUGACGUUACCGACAGAAUAAGCACCGGCUAACUCUGUGCCAGCAGCCGCGGUAAUACAGAGGGUGCAAGCGUUAAUCGGAAUUACUGGGCGUAAAGCGCGCGUAGGUGGUUUGUUAAGUUGAAUGUGAAAUCCCCGGGCUCAACCUGGGAACUGCAUCCAAAACUGGCAAGCUAGAGUAUGGUAGAGGGUGGUGGAAUUUCCUGUGUAGCGGUGAAAUGCGUAGAUAUAGGAAGGAACACCAGUGGCGAAGGCGACCA